AGCGAACGCUGGCGGCAGGCCUAACACAUGCAAGUCGAACGGAUCCUUCGGGAUUAGUGGCGGACGGGUGAGUAACACGUGGGAACGUGCCCUUUGGUUCGGAACAACUCAGGGAAACUUGAGCUAAUACCGGAUGUGCCCUUCGGGGGAAAGAUUUAUCGCCAUUGGAGCGGCCCGCGUCUGAUUAGCUAGUUGGUGAGGUAAAGGCUCACCAAGGCGACGAUCAGUAGCUGGUCUGAGAGGAUGAUCAGCCACAUUGGGACUGAGACACGGCCCAAACUCCUACGGGAGGCAGCAGCGGGGAAUCUUGCGCAAUGGGCGAAAGCCUGACGCAGCCAUGCCGCGUGAAUGAUGAAGGUCUUAGGACUGUAAAAUUCUUUCACCGGGGACGAUAAUGACGGUACCCGGAGAAGAAGCCCCGGCUAACUUCGUGCCAGCCGCCGCAGUAA
rnacentral:rRNA from 1 species